CCUACGUGAGGCUGCAGUGAGGAAUAUUGGUCAAUGGGCGUAAGCCUGAACCAGCCAAGUCGCGUGAGGGAUGAAGGUUCUAUGGAUCGUAAACCUCUUUUAUAAGGGAAUAAAGUGUCGGACGCGUCCUAUUCUGUAUGUACCUUAUGAAUAAGGAUCGGCUAACUCCGUGCCAGCAGCCGCGGUAAAACGGAGGAUCCGAGCGUUAUCCGGAUUCAUUGGGUUUAAAGGGUGCGUAGGCAGACAUUUAAGUCAGCGGUGAAAGUCUGUGGCUCAACCAUAGAAUUGCCGUUGAAACUGGGGGGCUUGAGUAUGUUUGAGGCAGGCGGAAUGCGUGGUGUAGCGGUGAAAUGCUUAGAUAUCACGCAGAACCCCGAUUGCGAAGGCAGCCUGCCAAGCCAUGACUGACGCUGAGGCACGAAAGCGUGGGGAUCAAACAGGAUUAGAUACCCGUGUAGUC
rnacentral:rRNA from 1 species